UACGAAGGGUGCAAGCGUUAAUCGGAAUUACUGGGCGUAAAGCGUGCGUAGGUGGUUGGUUAAGUCUGUCGUGAAAGCCCUGGGCUCAACCUGGGAAUGGCGAUGGAUACUGGCCGACUAGAGUGCGGUAGAGGGUAGCGGAAUUUCCGGUGUAGCGGUGAAAUGCGUAGAGAUCGGAAGGAACAUCCGUGGCGAAGGCGGCUACCUGGACCAGCACUGACACUGAGGCACGAAAGCGUGGGGAGCAAACAGG
rnacentral:rRNA from 1 species